UACGUAGGGGGCUAGCGUUGUCCGGAAUCAUUGGGCGUAAAGCGCGCGUAGGCGGCCCGGUAAGUCCGCUCUGAAAGUCCAGGGCUCAACCCUGGAAUGCGGGUGGAUACUGCCGGGCUAGAGUCCGGAAGAGGCGAGUGGAAUUCCUGGUGUAGCGGUGGAAUGCGCAGAUAUCAGGAGGAACACCAAUAGCGAAGGCAGCUCGCUGGGACGGUACUGACGCUAAGGCGCGAAAGCUAGGGGAGCGAACGGG
rnacentral:rRNA from 1 species